rnacentral:rRNA from 1 species
CCUACGGGAGACAGCAGUGGGGAAUAUUGGGCAAUGGGCGCAAGCCUGACCCAGCAACGCCGCGUGAAGGAAGAAGGCUUUCGGGUUGUAAACUUCUUGUGUCAGGGAAGAGUAGAAGACGGUACCUGACGAAUAAGCCACGGCUAACUACGUGCCAGCAGCCGCGGUAAUACGUAGGUGGCAAGCGUUGUCCGGAUGUACUGGGUGUAAAGGGCGUGUAGCCGGGUUGACAAGUCAGAUGUGAAAUCCUGCGGCUUAACCGCAGAACUGCAUUUGAAACUGUUGAUCUUGAGUACUGGAGAGGCAGACGGAAUUCCUAGUGUAGCGGUGAAAUGCGUAGAUAUUAGGAGGAACACCAGUGGCGAAGGCGGUCUGCUGGACAGCAACUGACGGUGAGGCGCGAAAGCGUGGGGAGCAAACAGGAUUAGAUACCCCAGUAGUC